rnacentral:piRNA from 1 species
UGGUGGCUUCUUGUUCCUCAUGACUGGU